UCCGGUUAACCUGACCUAACCGAAUAAAACCGCCAACAGUCACUAUAGGUCUUGACUCAGAAAAAUCAUAUAUGCUUCCUUACUAAUGAGACUUUCUAUACAACAAAGUGAGGUCAUUCUUUGUUGAUUUAUACCCUAAGGUGCUGGCUAUCAUGUGUUUGAAGAUACCCUAAACUUAACCUAACCAAACCUAACAAAACCCCAAACAGUCACUAUAGGUCUUGACUCAGAAAAUUCAUAUAUGCUUCCUUACUAAUGAGACUUUCUAUACAACAAAGUGAGGUCAUUCUUUGUUGAUUUAUACCCUAAGGUGCUGGCUAUCAUGUGUUUGAAGAUACCCUAAACUUAACCUAACCAAACCUAACAAAACCCCAAACAGUCACUAUAGGUCUUGACUCAGAAAAUUCAUAUAUGCUUCCUUACUAAUGAGACUUUCUAUACAACAAAGUGAGGUCAUUCUUUGUUGAUUUAUACCAUAAGGUGCUGGCUAUCAUGUGUUUGAAGAUACCCUAAACUUAACCUAACCUAACCUAACAAAACCCCAAACAGUCACUAUAGGUCUUGACUCAGAAAAUUCAUAUAUGCUUCCUUACUAAUGAGACUUUCUAUACAACAAAGUGAGGUCAUUCUUUGUUGAUUUAUACCAUAAGGUGCUGGCUAUCAUGUGUUUGAAGAUACCCUAAACUUAACCUAACCUAACCUAACAAAACACCAGACAGUCACUAUAGGUCUUGACUCAGAAAAUUCAUAUAUGCUUCCUUACUAAUGAGACUUUCUAUACAACAAAGUGAGGUCAUUCUUUGUUGAUUUAUACCCUAAGGUGCUGGCUAUCAUGUGUUUGAAGAUACCCUAAACUUAACCUAACCUAACCUAACAAAACCCCAAACAGUCACUAUAGGUCUUGACUCAGAAAAUUCAUAUAUGCUUCCUUACUAAUGAGACUUUCUAUACAACAAAGUGAGGUCAUUCUUUGUUGAUUUAUACCAUAAGGUGCUGGCUAUCAUGUGUUUGAAGAUACCCUAAACUUAACCUAACCUAACCUAACAAAACCCCAAACAGUCACUAUAGGUCUUGACUCAGAAAAUUCAUAUAUGCUUCCUUACUAAUGAGACUUUCUAUACAACAAAGUGAGGUCAUUCUUUGUUGAUUUAUACCAUAAGGUGCUGGCUAUCAUGUGUUUGAAGAUACCCUAAACUUAACCUAACCUAACCUAACAAAACCCAAACAGUCACUAUAGGUCUUGACUCAGAAAAUUCAUAUAUGCUUCCUUACUAAUGAGACUUUCUAUACAACAAAGUGAGGUCAUUCUUUGUUGAUUUAUACCAUAAGGUGCUGGCUAUCAUGUGUUUGAAGAUACCCUAAACUUAACCUAACCUAACCUAACAAAACCCCAAACAGUCACUAUAGGUCUUGACUCAGAAAAUUCAUAUAUGCUUCCUUACUAAUGAGACUUUCUAUACAACAAAGUGAGGUCAUUCUUUGUUGAUUUAUACCAUAAGGUGCUGGCUAUCAUGUGUUUGAAGAUACCCUAAACUUAACCUAACCUAACCUAACAAAACCCAAAACAGUCACUAUAGGUCUUGACUCAGAAAAUUCAUAUAUGCUUCCUUACUAAUGAGACUUUCUAUACAACAAAGUGAGGUCAUUCUUUGUUGAUUUAUACCAUAAGGUGCUGGCUAUCAUGUGUUUGAAGAUACCCUAAACUUAACCUAACCUAACCUAACAAAACCCCAAACAGUCACUAUAGGUCUUGACUCAGAAAAUUCAUAUAUGCUUCCUUACUAAUGAGACUUUCUAUACAACAAAGUGAGGUCAUUCUUUGUUGAUUUAUACCAUAAGGUGCUGGCUAUCAUGUGUUUGAAGAUACCCUAAACUUAACCUAACCUAACCUAACAAAACCCAAAACAGUCACUAUAGAUCUUGACUCAGAAAAUUCAUAUGUGCUUCCUUACUAAUGAGACUUUCUAUACAACAAAGUGAGGUCAUUCUUUGUUGAUUUAUUCCAUAAGGUGCUGGCUAUCAUGUGUUUGAAGAUACCCUAAACUUAACCUAACCUAACCUAACAAAACCCCAAACAGUCACUAUAG